rnacentral:rRNA from 1 species
UAAGGAAUAUUGCUCAAUGGGAGAAAUCCUGAAGCAGCAACGCCGCGUGGAGGAUGAAGGGUUUUUAACUUGUAAACUCCUGUAAAGAAGGAAAAAAUUCCCAUUAGAUGGGAAAUGAUGGUACUUCUGGAGUAAGCCCCGGCUAACUACGUGCCAGCAGCCGCGGUAAUACGUAGGGGGCAAGCGUUGUCCGGAUUUACUGGGUGUAAAGGGUGCUCAGGCGGAUUUGUAAGUCAGAGGUGAAAUCUCACAGCUUAACUGUGAAACUGCCUUUGAUACUGCAAGCCUAGAGUAUGGAAGAGAGUGAUGGAAUAUCUGGUGUAGCAGUGAAAUGCGUAGAUAUCAGAUAGAACACCAAUGGCGAAGGCAGUCACUUGGUCCAUAACUGACGCUAAAGCACGAAAAGCGUGGGUAGCAAACAGGAUUAGAUACCCUGGUAGUCCACGCCCUAAACGAUGAAUACUAGAUGUUGGCUUCGCAUGAAGUCAGUAUCUGAGCUAACGCAUUAAAGUAUUCCACCUGGGAAGUACGAUCGCAAGGUUGAAACUCAAAUGAAUUGACGGGGGUCUAGCUGUUUCCUG